rnacentral:rRNA from 1 species
GUACACGCUGUGACUAGCAUAUCAAUAAGCGGAGGAAAAGAAACUAACAAGGAUUCCCUCAGUAACGGCGAGUGAAGCGGGAAGAGCUCAAAUUUGAAAUCUUGAAAGGUCACCUUUCACGAAUUGUAGUUUAAAGAAGUGUUUUCUGUUACGAUCGUAAUAUAAGUUCUUUGGAAUAGGACAUCAUAGAGGGUGAGAAUCCCGUAUGAUUGACCGAUUAUUGUCAGCUUUGUGAUACACUUUCAAAGAGUCGGAUUGUUUGGGAAUGCAGUCCAAAAUGGGUAGGUAAAUUUCUAUCUAAGGCUAAAUAUUGGCGAGAGACCGAUAGCGAACAAGUACCGUGAGGGAAAGAUGAAAAGAACUUUGAAAAGAGAGUUAAACAGUACGUGAAAUUGUCAAAAGGGAAGCGUUUAACACCAGUGUUGUUUUCUGGAAAUCAACCUCUGUUAGCUUUAUGCAUGUUUGUUUAGACCUAAUCAGCUAUCUUGCAUGUUCUAUUGUUUGCAGUGGUGCACUUUUCAGUUUACAGGUCAACAUCAGUUUUUUUACCGUAAAAAAGUUAAAGAAAGGUAGCUCAUGGCUCCGGUCGUGAGUGUUAUAGUCUUUUUCCUAUGCGGUAGGAGAGACUGAGGUCUGCAGUGUAGGCUAUUUGGCUAGAUACUCAGGUGCUAUGUGAUACCAUUUCAUAAACAACUUGUUGAUUAUGUUUUGUCUAUUGCAUACUCGCUUGUACUAUCAUACCUACGCUUAGGAUGUUGAGUAGCGACAUACGCAC